rnacentral:misc_RNA from 1 species
UAAUCUCACUACAAUCCUCUUUGGUUGUAUGUGGAUCUGGAUGCUGCCGUGUCUUACAAACGGCUCGUCUGAAAUGCCUGAGUGUACCCUGCUUUGCGGCGUAUUCGGUGUGAUACAUCUUCACCGGAGUUUGACCUUUUGGGGUCACGUCUGCUUACUUAUGGCUCUAUGCUUCCAACCGUCUUGACCAGACAAUGCCUGACA